AGUGAACGCUGGCGGUAGGCCUAACACAUGCAAGUCGAACGGCAGCACAGUAAGAGCUUGCUCUUACGGGUGGCGAGUGGCGGACGGGUGAGGAAUACAUCGGAAUCUACUUUUUCGUGGGGGAUAACGUAGGGAAACUUACGCGAAUACCGCAUACGACCUACGGGUUAAAGCAGGGGAUCUUCGGACCUUGCGCGAUUGAAUGAGCCGAUGUCGGAUUAGCUAGUUGGCGGGGUAAAGGCCCACCAAGGCGACGAUCCGUAGCUGGUCUGAGAGGAUGAUCAGCCACACUGGAACUGAGACACGGUCCAGACUCCUACGGGAGGCAGCAGUGGGGAAUAUUGGACAAUGGGCGCAAGCCUGAUCCAGCCAUACCGCGUGGGUGAAGAAGGCCUUCGGGUUGUAAAGCCCUUUUGUUGGGAAAGAAAAGCAGCAGGUUAAUACCCCGCUGUUCUGACGGUACCCAAAGAAUAAGCACCGGCUAACUUCGUG
rnacentral:rRNA from 1 species